GACGAACGCUGGCGGCGUGCUUAAUACAUGCAAGUCGAGCGAGGUUACUGUUUUGGAUCCCUUCGGGGUGAAGAAGCUUUAACCUAGCGGCGGACGGGUGAGUAACGCGUGGGUAACCUACCCCAAAGUCCGGGAUAACAGCGGGAAACCGCUGCUAAUACCGGAUGUCUUUACCUUGGGGCAUCUUGAGGUAAAGAAAGGUAACGCUUUGGGAUGGGCCCGCGUCCCAUUAGCUAGUUGGUGAGGUAACGGCUCACCAAGGCGACGAUGGGUAGCCGGCCUGAGAGGGUGGACGGCCACACUGGGACUGAGACACGGCCCAGACUCCUACGGGAGGCAGCAGUAGGGAAUAUUGCGCAAUGGACGGAAGUCUGACGCAGCGACGCCGCGUGAGUGAUGAAGGUCUUCGGAUCGUAAAGCUCUGUCCUUGGGGAAGAAGGUCUUCGGACUUGACGGUACCCAAGAAGAAAGCCCGGCUAACUACGUG
rnacentral:rRNA from 1 species